rnacentral:rRNA from 1 species
UACGUAGGGGGCAAGCGUUGUCCGGAAUUAUUGGGCGUAAAGAGCGCGUAGGCGGUCCGGUAAGUCGGCUGUGAAAGUCAAGGGCUCAACCCUUGAAAGCCGGCCGAUACUGUCGGACUAGAGUCCGGAAGAGGCGAGUGGAAUUCCCGGUGUAGCGGUGAAAUGCGCAGAUAUCGGGAGGAACACCAAUGGCGAAGGCAGCUCGCUGGGACGUGACUGACGCUGAGACGCGAAAGCGUGGGGAGCAAACAGG